GACGAACGCUGGCGGCGUGCUUAACACAUGCAAGUCGAGCGGUAAGGCCCUUUCGGGGGUACACGAGCGGCGAACGGGUGAGUAACACGUGGGUGACCUGCCCUCAGCUCUGGGAUAAGCCUGGGAAACCGGGUCUAAUACUGGAUAUGACUCCAUGACGCAUGUUGUGGGGUGGAAAGCCUUGUGCGGCUGAGGAUGGGCCCGCGGCCUAUCAGCUUGUUGGUGGGGUGAGGGCCUACCAAGGCGACGACGGGUAGCCGGCCUGAGAGGGCGACCGGCCACACUGGGACUGAGACACGGCCCAGACUCCUACGGGAGGCAGCAGUGGGGAAUCUUGCGCAAUGGGCGAAAGCCUGACGCAGCGACGCCGCGUGGGGA
rnacentral:rRNA from 1 species